rnacentral:rRNA from 1 species
UACGUAGGGCGCAAGCGUUGUCCGGAAUUAUUGGGCGUAAAGAGCUCGUAGGCGGUUUGUCACGUCUUCUGUGAAAUCCCGAGGCUCAACCUCGGGCCUGCAGUGGGUACGGGCAGACUGGAGUGCGGUAGGGGAGAAUGGAAUUCCUGGUGUAGCGGUGGAAUGCGCAGAUAUCAGGAGGAACACCGAUGGCGAAGGCAGUUCUCUGGGCCGUAACUGACGCUGAGGAGCGAAAGCGUGGGGAGCGAACAGG